CAGAACAUGAUUCGCGGGAACUUGGUAUCAACCCACAAACGAUUCCCAUUCAAUCCAAUUUCUUCUUUUACUACAUUCACUGCUUCAUCAGCUUAUCUCUCACUUGACAAUCUUCCCAUCAACAACUCACAAAACCUUAAGCACGCAAUUCAACCCUUUUCUCCUUACUUGACCCGAUUGCAAAACUUGGUCAAUCAAUACAAUUUAUCCCACUCCCAACUGAAG
rnacentral:lncRNA from 1 species